UACGUAGGGGGCAAGCGUUGUCCGGAUUUAUUGGGCGUAAAGAGCGUGUAGGCGGCCAUGUAGGUCCGUUGUGAAAACUCGAGGCUCAACCUCGAGACGCCGAUGGAAACCAUAUGGCUAGAGUCCGGAAGAGGAGAGUGGAAUUCCUGGUGUAGCGGUGAAAUGCGCAGAUAUCAGGAAGAACACCCGUGGCUAAGGCGGCUCUCUAGUACGGUACUGACGCUGAGACGCGAAAGCGUGGGGAGCAAACAGG
rnacentral:rRNA from 1 species